rnacentral:rRNA from 1 species
CAGCAGCCACGGUAAUACAGAGGGUGCAAGCGUUAAUCGGAAUUACUGGGCGUAAAGCGCGCGUAGGUGGUUUGUUAAGUUGGAUGUGAAAGCCCCGGGCUCAACCUGGGAACUGCAUCCAAAACUGGCAAGCUAGAGUACGGUAGAGGGUGGUGGAAUUUCCUGUGUAGCGGUGAAAUGCGUAGAUAUAGGAAGGAACACCAGUGGCGAAGGCGACCACCUGGACUGAUACUGACACUGAGGUGCGAAAGCGUGGGGAGCAAACAGGAUUAGAUACCCCCGUAGUCCUGUCUCUUAUACA